UACGAAGGGUGCAAACGUUGCUCGGAAUCAUUGGGCGUAAAGCGCACGUAGGCGGCCUCGCAAGUCUGAUGUGAAAUCCCUCGGCUCAACCGAGGACGUGCAUCGGAAACUGCGGGGCUUGAGUACUGAAGAGGGUCGCGGAAUUCCCGGUGUAGAGGUGAAAUUCGUAGAUAUCGGGAGGAACACCAGUGGCGAAGGCGGCGACCUGGGCCAAUACUGACGCUGAGGUGCGAAAGCGUGGGGAGCAAACAGG
rnacentral:rRNA from 1 species